GACGAACGCUGGCGGCGUGCCUAAUACAUGCAAGUCGAACGAGAGCGACCGGUGCUUGCACUGGUCAAUCUAGUGGCGAACGGGUGAGUAACACGUGGGUAACCUGCCCAUCAGAGGGGGAUAACAUCCGGAAACGGGUGCUAAAACCGCAUAGGUCUUCGAACCGCAUGGUUUGAAGAGGAAAAGAGGCGCAAGCUUCUGCUGAUGGAUGGACCCGCGGUGCAUUAGCUAGUUGGUGAGGUAACGGCUCACCAAGGCCGUGAUGCAUAGCCGACCUGAGAGGGUGAUCGGCCACAUUGGGACUGAGACACGGCCAAAACUCCUACGGGAGGCAGCAGUAGGGAAUCUUCCGCAAUGGACGCAAGUCUGACGGAGCAACGCCGCGUGAGUGAAGAAGGUUUUCGGAUCGUAAAACUCUGUUGUUAGAGAAGAACAAGUGCUAGAGUAACUGUUAGCGCCUUGACGGUAUCUAACCAGAAAGCCACGGCUAACUACGUG
rnacentral:rRNA from 1 species